rnacentral:lncRNA from 1 species
AUGCUCUUCAUUCCAGAUCCUGUGGCAUCUCUGUGUUGCAUGAACAAAGAGCACCUUGAUCAGGGCCACGAUGGGGGUCUCCCUUGCUUCUCUGGAGCUUGCUAUAGUGAGAAAAACACUCAUUCUUUCAUGGUUGGAGAAAACGUGAAAGCGAGAGCGGCUUCUGCAGUUAGGAGAUGGGGUAAACGACCCUCUCCUGAAGUCCAUCCUAGUCGGGGCUGCUUCCAGAUGCACUUGGGAUGUGUCUGGUCUUAUCCAAAUGGCUUGGAGAGAUGGGAAGAGAAAUGUGAAUGUACCACGGAAGUGAUGGGACCACAUUGCCAGGAGUUUAUCCCUCACCACAGAGCAGCAGUGGCCAGCAGGCUGGUGGCACAGUCUGGAGUUCACAAUCUUCACAUUGUUUUCUCAAGGCGUCUUCCAGGAUUGCUGAAGCAGAGAAGAGGGAACCGGAGGUCCACGCAUGAUGUCUUCACCCCUUCAGCCCACAAGCAGCACUUGUUGCUUCCGCUUGUGAUUAGCUACCUGCCAUGUCCACCUGCUGGGGGUGUGAGGCACGGUGAUGUGUAUGGGCAUGUGUCCUCAUGGACGGCCUUAAAAUUCUUGUUAUGUGAAAACCUGGAGCAGAUACACAACACAAGAUACACAAGCAUGGUAUCACUUUUUAAACCUAUGUAUGUGUAA